UACGGAAGGCAGCAGUGGGGAAUAUUGCACAAUGGGCGCAAGCCUGAUGCAGCCAUGCCGCGUGUAUGAAGAAGGCCUUCGGGUUGUAAAGUACUUUCAGUCGUGAGGAAGGUGUUAAGGUUAAUAACCUUAGCAAUUGACGUUAGCGACAGAAGAAGCACCGGCUAACUCCGUGCCAGCAGCCGCGGUAAUACGGAGGGUGCGAGCGUUAAUCGGAAUUACUGGGCGUAAAGGGCACGCAGGCGGUUAAUUAAGUUGGAUGUGAAAUCCCCGGGCUUAACCUGGGAAUGGCAUUCAAGACUGGUUAGCUAGAGUCUUGUAGAGGGGGUAGAAUUCCAUGUGUAGCGGUGAAAUGCGUAGAGAUGUGGAGGAAUACCGGUGGCGAAGGCGGCCCCUGGACAAAGGCUGACGCUCAUGUGCGAAAGCGUGGGGAGCAAACGAGGAUUAGAUACC
rnacentral:rRNA from 1 species